AAGAGGUCACACCUGUUCCCAUGCCGAACACAGCAGUUAAGCUCUUCAGCGCCGAUGG
rnacentral:rRNA from 1 species